UGACGGUCAUAUCAGUUUUAAACACUGCUUCCCGUACGAUCACCGAAAUUAAGCAACGUCGAGAUUGGUCAGUACCUAGAUGACUGACCGCUUGAAAAUACCAGGUUCUGCAAG